UACGAAGGGUGCAAGCGUUACUCGGAAUUACUGGGCGUAAAGCGUGCGUAGGCGGCUUGUUAAGUCUGAUGUGAAAGCCCUGGGCUCAACCUGGGAAUUGCAUUGGAUACUGGCAGGCUAGAGUGCGGUAGAGGAUGGCGGAAUUCCCGGUGUAGCAGUGAAAUGCGUAGAGAUCGGGAGGAACAUCUGUGGCGAAGGCGGCCAUCUGGACCAGCACUGACACUGAGGCACGAAAGCGUGGGGAGCAAACAGG
rnacentral:rRNA from 1 species